rnacentral:rRNA from 1 species
UACGAGGGGGGCGAGCGUUGUUCGGAAUUAUUGGGCGUAAAGGGUGCGUAGGUGGCGCCAUAAGUCGGGUGUGAAAUCUCGGGGCUUAACUCCGAAACUGCAUUCGAUACUGUGGUGCUUGAGGACUGGAGAGGAGACUGGAAUUCAUGGUGUAGCAGUGAAAUGCGUAGAGAUCAUGAGGAAGACCAGUGGCGAAGGCGGGUCUCUGGACAGUUCCUGACACUGAGGCACGAAGGCCAGGGGAGCAAACGGG